rnacentral:lncRNA from 10 species
GAGAGUUCUGGAGCAGUGAGAGCUCAGUGUGGAAGCCCUUGGUCUGAUGGGGCUUCAGGGAACAUUUCCUGGAUCCAUCCUGAACAAAGUCUUGAAAUACAGAAUAUGGAUUUAGAAUGCGAAGUCUCUAAGUCAAGGGAAAGGUCUAGGUCGAACAGUGGUGCCCUUCAACAAGUAAUACCCUACAUCUCAGCCAAAGAAUCUAUCAGUGAAUCCAUGGAUGGAUGCAUGAGGGAUCAGACAGCCCCUGUCCCACUAUGUCUGGCUCUAUGGAAAUGUGGGACUGGUGACACCCUCCUUCUCACAGUAUUAUAAGUAAAUGCAGCAGAGAGUCCACUCUUGAAGCUUGUGACUGGGAGGAAGAAAGCAUGGAGAGGAAGUAUGCAUUCAGGUAUCUUCUCAUACCAACU